rnacentral:rRNA from 1 species
UACGGGGGGGGCAAGCGUUGUUCGGAAUUACUGGGCGUAAAGGGCGCGUAGGCGGCCAACUAAGUCGGAUGUGAAAUCCCCAGGCUCAACUUGGGAACUGCAUCCGAUACUGGUCGGCUUGAAUCCGGGAGAGGGAUGCAGAAUUCCAGGUGUAGCGGUGAAAUGCGUAGAUAUCUGGAGGAAUACCGGUAGCGAAGGCGGCAUCCUGGACCGGCAUUGACGCUGAUGUGCGAAAGCUAGGGGAGCAAACGGG